rnacentral:rRNA from 1 species
GACGAACGCUGGCGGCGUGCUUAACACAUGCAAGUCGAACGAUGAAGAAGAGAAACGCGAACUUCGGUUCAAAUUUCACUUCGGAUUAGUGGCAGACGGGUGAGUAACGCGUGAGCAACCUACCUCUUACAAAGGGAUAGCCUCGGGAAACCGUGAUUAAUACCAUAUGACACAUUCAUAAGGCAUCUUAAGAAUGUUAAAGCUACGGCGGUAAGAGAUGGGCUCGCGUCCCAUUAGCUAGUUGGUGAGGUAACGGCCCACCAAGGCGACGAUGGGUAACGGGCAGGGGGGGGGGAAGGGCAAAAUGGAAAAGGAGACCCGGCCAAACCCCACAGGGGGGGAAGGAGGGGGGAAUAUGGCACAAGGGGGGGAACUAGAAGGGCGCGGCGCGGGGGGGGGAAGAAGGAAUUGCUUUGGGAAAAGCUUUUUUUUAUGGAAAGAAAGGGACGGAACAAAAGAGAAAACCCCCGGCUAAAUACGUG